rnacentral:rRNA from 1 species
GACGAACGCUGGCGGCGUGCUUAACACAUGCAAGUCGAACGAUGAAGCCGGAGCUUGCUCUGGUGAAUUAGUGGCGAACGGGUGAGUAACACGUGAGUAACCUGCCCUUGACUCUGGGAUAACUGCGGGAAACUGUAGCUAAUACCGGAUACGACCCUCGGAGGCAUCUCCUGGGGGUGGAAAGAAUUUCGGUCAAGGAUGGACUCGCGGCCUAUCAGCUAGUUGGUGAGGUAAAGGCUCACCAAGGCGACGACGGGUAGCCGGCCUGAGAGGGUGACCGGCCACACUGGGACUGAGACACGGCCCAGACUCCUACGGGAGGCAGCAGUGGGGAAUAUUGCACAAUGGGCGCAGGCCUGAUGCAGCAACGCCGCGUGAGGGAUGACGGCCUUCGGGUUAUAAACCUCUUUUAGUAGGGAAGAAGCGAAAGUGACGGUACCUGCAGAAAAAGCACCGGCUAACUACGUGCCAGCCGCCGCGGUAA